rnacentral:lncRNA from 1 species
AUGGCAAGUGGACGUGUUCCCUAUAAGUGUGAAAAGACCAUUAUACGGUCCAAACAAGACCAGUAUGCCCUAGAUUGUCUUAACCGGUUGACGACAAGAGAGACUGUGAAUGGUGUCUCUAAAUAUGCCACUCCUCUACUUCGUUCAAAGCAUGCACCCUUGUUCAAUGCUCCUAAAGUGGCAGUUAUGUCAUCCCUCCGAUGGACAGAGCGCCAACUGACACGAAAUCCUGAGCAGGCCCUUAUCUAUGAAGGAGAGAUUCAAAAACUGGUUGAUUCUGGUUAUGUGAGGAAGUUGAGUCAUGUAAGAGCUCUACCAGAGGAUUGUGAAGAUGUUAAGGAGUCUAUCACCAAGGCUUUUUAUGUUGAUAACUGUCUACAAAGUGUUAUGGACAUCCCGACAGCAAAGGAGUUGGUUGGGAAGUUACGGACCCAUUUGAGAGAUGGAGGCUUUGAAAUUCGACAGUGGGCAAGUAAUGUUUCAGAGGUGGUGGAGGAUCUGCCCAGCGACGCAAAGUCCGCCCACACUGAACUUUGGUUAAGUCAAGACUGUUCAGAUCCUAGUGAAGGUAUGCUGGGAUUAAUUUGGCACUGUGCCAGAGAUACCCUCGGUUACAAACAUCGUCCUGUUGCUUAUGAUUCUCUUACCUUGCGCAAUGUUUAUUACAAACAUUGUCCUGUUGCUUAUGAUUCUCUUACCUUGCGCAAUGUUUAUAGGGUCCUUGCAAGUCAAUAUGACCCUAUAGGGUUCCUUCUACCUUUUACCACUAGAGCCAAAGUCCUGCUUCAACAAAUGUGGAGUAAAGGAAGACAAUGGGAUGAUCCUGCACUACCUGAAGGUAUUAAGAAGGCCUGGGUAGCAUGGGAGAGUGAACUUCCUGCUAUCACAUCCAUUGAACUACCAAGAACGUAUGGUCCUGUUGAUCUUGAUGGAAAUUCCCUUAGGAGGGAGUUGCACGUAUUUUGUGAUGCUUCAGAAUUGGCUUAUGGGUCAGUGGCCUACUUAAGGACUGUCAAUCAGGAGAGUGAAGUUCUAGUCUCCUUUGUGAUGGCCCGAUCCAGAGUUGCACCUCGUAAGUCAAUUUCUAUACCUCGUCUAGAAUUGUGUGCUGCCCUCACCGGGGUUCAAUUGGCAAAUCUGUUGCAGAGGGAACUUGAUCUGCUCAUUCAACAAACAAUACUGUGGUCUGAUUCGAUGACAGUACUCAACUGGAUUCGUUCGGAGACUUGCCGCUAUAAAGUAUUUGUUGCAAACCGCAUUACUGAAAUCUUAGAGUACUCUGCUCCUGAUCAAUGGCGUUAUGUUAAUACUACUAGCAAUCCAGCUGAUGAUAUCACUAGGGGCAAGAAUCUGACUGAUCUAACCAAACCUAAUCAUUGGACUCGAGGCCCUUCUUUCCUUUAUUCUGACCCUGAUCAGUGGCCAAAAUUCCCUGGUAUGAUUGAAAACUCUGAUGCUACAGAGUUAAGGAAGACUCUGUUCUGUGGCCUUACUGAUGUUGAAGAUAACUUUGUGAAUCUUGAUGUUCAGCAAUACAAGUCGUGGAAUGAGCUUGUUGAAGCUGUGGCAGUUAACUCUUUGCUGGACAAGGCUCAGAUUGAACUUCUCCUGUUGCGACAGGCUCAGAGGAAAGACUUUGCAGAGGAGUAUGGUGCAUUGCGAAUUGGGAAAAGUGUUCCAUCUAGUAGUCGAUUGUACAAUCUUGCACCGGAGUUCGAUCCCAUUGCUGAAGUUAUUAGAGUAGGAGGGCGACUUCGACAUAGUCAAGAACUGGCUUUUGAUACCAUUCAUCCAAUUAUUCUUGAUUCAAGAAACUCUAUCGUUCAACUUUUGAUUGCAUCUGUAGAUGCCAAAUUGGGUCAUCCUGGAGUAGAUAGAGUUUAUGCUCAUCUUAGGCGCUACUACUGGAUUUUAAAAGGUAGACAAGCUGUGAAGAAAUAUCAAAGAAAGUGUCUGGAGUGUGCCAAAUGGAAAGGAAAACCAAUAGUUCCUAGGAUGGCUGAUCUUCCUCCAUCUAAGCUCAAUCUGUUCAAACCUCCCUUCUGGUCCACAGGAAUGGACUGUUUUGGGCCAUUUGUGAUCAAGUCUGGUCGUAAGACUGAGAAGCGAUGGGGAUUACUUUUCAAAUGUCAGACCACUAGAUGUGUUCAUUUAGAACUGCUGACUAGUCUUGACACUGAUAGUUUUUUAAUGGCACUCCGUCGUUUUGUAGCUCGAAGAGGACAACCUUAUGAAGUGAUCUGUGAUCAAGGAACUAAUUUUCAUGGGGGUGAAAGUGAACUGAAAAGUGCCUUUGACCAAUUAAGUCCAGUCUUACAAGAAAAGCUGUCGAAUCAUCAGAUCAAAUUCACCUAUAAUCCUCCUUAUGCUCCACAUUUUGGAGGAACGUGGGAGAGGGAAAUCCGAUCCAUCAAAGGUGCACUUCGAUCUGUUUUAGGAAGUCAAGUAGUUACUGAGGAGGUUCUAACAACUGUAUUGGUGGAGGUUGAAGAAAUAUUGAAUUCCAAACCUUUAGGAUAUGUCUCUUCUAGUGCUGAUGAUUUGGAUCCUGUUACUCCUAAUUUGCUUCUAAUGGGGCGGCGGGAUGCUUCGUUACCCCAAGUGAUUUAUGCAGAUUCUAAUAUUUUAUCUCAGAGAAGAUGGAGACAUGGCCAGGUUCUGGCGGAUCAAUUUUGGACCAGUUUUAUUAGGAAUUAUCUGCCAAAUCUACAAAUUCGCCAAAAAUGGCAGCAAGAUCAAGGUAACCUGAAGAUUCUGAUGUAG